AUUGAACGCUGGCGGUAGGCCUAACACAUGCAAGUAGAGCGGAGCGGCGGAGGGGUGAGUAAUGCCUAGGAAUCUGCCUGGUAGUGGGGGAUAACGUCCGGCAACGGGCGCUAAUACCGCAUACUAUCAGAUGAGCCUAGGUCGGAGUCGCUAGUUGGUGGGGUAAAGGCCUACCAAGGCGACGAUCCGUAACUGGUCUGAGAGGAGGAGCAGUCACACUGGAACUGUGACACGGUCCAGACCCCUACGGGGGGCAGAAGUGGUGAAUAUUAGACAAUGGGCGAAAGCCUGAUCCAGCCAUGCCGCGUGUGUGAAGAAGGUCUUCGGAUUGUAAAGCACUUUAAGUUGGGAGGCGUUACCAGCAGAAUAAGCACCGGCUAACUUCGUGCCAGCCGCCGCGGUAAUAC
rnacentral:rRNA from 1 species